GUGAGAGGAGGCAAGCGUUAUCCGGAAUUAUUGGGCGUAAAGCGUCCGUAGGCGGCUGGUCAAGUCUGGGGUCAAAGGCCACAGCUCAACCGUGGGAAGGCCCUGGAAACUGACCGGCUAGAGUGAGGUAGGGGUUGCGGGAAUUCCCGGUGUAGCGGUGAAAUGCGUAGAGAUCGGGAAGAACACCUGAGGCGGAAGCGCGCAACUGGGCCUCAACUGACGCUGAGGUACGAAAGCUAGGGGAGCGAAUGGG
rnacentral:rRNA from 1 species